GUUCUCUCUCUCCUCACUCCUCUCCUCCAUCUGUGUGUUCUGCCUCUGUUGUAAGAAAUCUACAGAUGCUGCGAAUGAUCAGAAAGACAAGGUAAAAGGUAGAAAUACAGCUGAGUGCACUGAUGAAGAGGUGUUGUGCAUCUUUGGAUGUGAUUAGCAAGAGACAAAAACAAGGCAAGACAAAGCGAGUGCAGAGCUCUGACUUCAGUACUUACGCUCAGGUCAGAACGUAAACUGAACAGACAUCAAAUAUAACUGAGCUGGAUUCUGAAACUGUACAAAUAUAAGAAAAAGUGAAGUCAUUUAAAAUCAGAAGGUUAUGGCCUUUUAAUGUAAAAUAAAGGUAAUUCCU